UGGCGAACGGGUGAGUAACGCGUGAGGAACCUGCCUCAAAGAGGGGGACAACAGUUGGAAACGACUGCUAGUACCGCAUAAGCCCACGGGUCGGCAUCGACCUGAGGGAAAAGGAGCAAUCCGCUUUGAGAUGGCCUCGCGUCCGAUUAGCUAGUUGGUGAGGUAACGGCCCACCAAGGCGACGAUCGGUAGCCGGACUGAGAGGUUGAACGGCCACAUUGGGACUGAGACACGGCCCAG
rnacentral:rRNA from 1 species